rnacentral:rRNA from 1 species
CGGAGAGUUUGAUCCUGGCUCAGGACGAACGCUGGCGGCGUGCCUAAUACAUGCAAGUCGAACGAACUCUGGUAUUGAUUGGUGCUUGCAUCAUGAUUUACAUUUGAGUGAGUGGCGAACUGGUGAGUAACACGUGGGAAACCUGCCCAGAAGCGGGGGAUAACACCUGGAAACAGAUGCUAAUACCGCAUAACAACUUGGACCGCAUGGUCCGAGCUUGAAAGAUGGCUUCGGCUAUCACUUUUGGAUGGUCCCGCGGCGUAUUAGCUAGAUGGUGGGGUAAUGGCUCACCAUGGCAAUGAUACGUAGCCGACCUGAGAGGGUAAUCGGCCACAUUGGGACUGAGACACGGCCCAAACUCCUACGGGAGGCAGCAGUAGGGAAUCUUCCACAAUGGGCGAAAGCCUGAUGGAGCAAUGCCGCGUGAGUGAAGAAGGUUUUCGGAUCGUAAAACUCUGUUGUUGAAGAAGAACAUGCGUGAGAGUAACUGUUCACGUACUGACGGUAUUCAACCAGAAAGCCACGGCUAACUACGUGCCAGCAGCCGCGGUAAUACGUAGGUGGCAAGCGUUGUCCGGAUUUAUUGGGCGUAAAGAGAAUGUAGGCGGUUUAUUAAGUUUGAAGUGAAAGCCCUCGGCUCAACCGAGGAAGUGCUUCGAAAACUGGUAAACUUGAGUGCAGAAGAGGAAAGUGGAACUCCAUGUGUAGCGGUGGAAUGCGUAGAUAUAUGGAAGAACACCAGUGGCGAAGGCGGCUUUCUGGUCUGUAACUGACGCUGAGAUUCGAAAGCAUGGGUAGCAAACAGGAUUAGAUACCCUGGUAGUCCAUGCCGUAAACGAUGAGUGCUAAGUGUUG